rnacentral:tRNA from 1 species
CGCCUCAUAGCUCUGUUGGCUAGAGCGUUGGCUCUACUUAAGCCUUUCCCCUGCUGGCGUGGGUUCGAAUCCCACCGAGGUCG